UAGGGAAUCUUCCGCAAUGGGCGAAAGCCUGACGGAGCAACGCCGCGUGAGUGAUGAAGGUCUUCGGAUCGUAAAACUCUGUUAUUAGGGAAGAACAAAUGUGUAAGUAACUAUGCACGUCUUGACGGUACCUAAUCAGAAAGCCACGGCUAACUACGUGCCAGCAGCCGCGGUAAUACGUAGGUGGCAAGCGUUAUCCGGAAUUAUUGGGCGUAAAGCGCGCGUAGGCGGUUUUUUAAGUCUGAUGUGAAAGCCCACGGCUCAACCGUGGAGGGUCAUUGGAAACUGGAAAACUUGAGUGCAGAAGAGGAAAGUGGAAUUCCAUGUGUAGCGGUGAAAUGCGCAGAGAUAUGGAGGAAAACCAGUGGCGAAGGCGACUUUCUGGUCUGUAACUGUCGCUGAUGUGCGAAAGCGUGGGGAUCAAACAGG
rnacentral:rRNA from 1 species